GAUUUCUUCUAAAACGACGAAUUCGAACUGCAAGUCACCAUUUCCUUCCCGUCGUCGUUGACGAAUUCGGGUUUAUGAUCUGGUGUGGAGGACUUGAUUUUGGCAUCUGGUUUAAGGUUACGGAUCUUGUUGCCUAAUAGCGUUUGGGGUUUGGAAGAUGGAUCUGAUUGUGAUAGUAGUCUUCUUCAUCUCUUUCCAGAUCCUGAUUUGUUUUCGUCGGAAUUUGGGUUAUGAGUUGAGGAAUCUCUAUAAACCAUAGAUUUGGCGGAUAUGAAAAUUUUGGGCUGCCAAAAUCUGAAGAAGGUAAUCAACACUGUGUUUAGAUUACGAUAUAAGUGAAGUUCCAGAUAUCUGGUCCCCAACUUGUAUCUAUUAGCAUGAUUUUUUUUCAUUUAUUUUUGGGAUCAGUUAUAGUCAAUAAGUUAAAUUAUUUGUGUUUCUAAACUGGGAUUUUCAUGUUCUGUUAUUGUUUAAUAUUUUCAUGUUCAGUUUAUUGAUGGUAGUGAUUUUGGUGGUUAUUAUGUCUGAUUUGGACAUUAUUGUUGUUUCCCCUGUUGUUCGAUUUGAGGGUGUUUUAGUUUUUCCGUAGCAUUCCUAAUUUGAUUCCAUGGUUUAUUGCUUAUAUUCUAUGAUCAGAUUUGGGCUCUUCUGGAUCGGUAGCAAUGUUGGGCGGUGAUUCGAGGGCGGAGAUGCUGGAGUAACAUGAAUCUGGGAAGGGAGUCUGAGUACAGACAACUUUGAAUGCGGCAGCGGGAGAUGUGGUGGGAGUUGAGAAGGGGUUGGUGUUGUUUUUCUUGUGGAGGAGGGUGCUGACGACUGCGUCGAUGAUAAUGGCGAGGAGGAGGUGGUGGAGUAACAUGAAUUUGGG
rnacentral:lncRNA from 1 species